rnacentral:rRNA from 1 species
GACGAACGCUGGCGGCGUGCUUAACACAUGCAAGUCGAACGGAAAGGCCCUGCUUGCCGGGUACUCGAGUGGCGAACGGGUGAGUAACACGUGGGUGAUCUGCCCUGCACUUCGGGAUAAGCCUGGGAAACUGGGUCUAAUACCGGAUAGGAGCCAUUUUUAGUGUGAUGGUUGGAAAGUUUUUUCGGUGUAGGAUGAGCUGGCGGCCUAUCAGCUUGUUGGUGGGGUAAUGGCCUACCAAGGCGGCGACGGGUAGCCGGCCUGAGAGGGUGGACGGCCACAUUGGGACUGAGAGACGGCCCAGACUCCGACGGGAGGCAGCAGUGGGGAAUAUUGCACAAUGGGCGCAAGCCUGAUGCAGCGACGCCGCGGGGGGGAUGACGGCCUUCGGGUUGUAAACUCCUUUCGCUAGGGACGAAGCUUUUUGUGACGGUACCUAGAGAAGAAGCACCGGCUAACUACGUG